UACGUAGGGCGCGAGCGUUGUCCGGAAUUAUUGGGCGUAAAGAGCUCGUAGGCGGCCUGUUGCGUCCGCUGUGAAAUCCCAGGGCUCAACCCUGGGCGUGCAGUGGAUACUGGCAAGCUAGAGUGCGGUAGAGGAUGGUGGAAUUCCCGGUGUAGCGGUGAAAUGCGUAGAGAUCGGGAGGAACACCCGUGGCGAAGGCGGCCAUCUGGACCAGCACUGACGCUGAGGCACGAAAGCGUGGGGAGCAAACAGG
rnacentral:rRNA from 1 species